UACAGAGGUCUCAAGCGUUGUUCGGAUUCAUUGGGCGUAAAGGGUGCGUAGGCGGCGCGGUAAGUCGGGUGUGAAAUCUUGGAGCUUAACUCCGAAACUGCAUUCGAUACUGCCGUGCUUGAGGACUGGAGAGGAGACUGGAAUUUACGGUGUAGCGGUGAAAUGCGUAGAUAUCGUAAGGAAGACCAGUGGCGAAGGCGGGUCUCUGGACAGUUCCUGACGCUGAGGCGCGAAGGCGAGGGGAGCAAACGGG
rnacentral:rRNA from 1 species